AGUGGGAUAACUGGGUCAAAUGGUGGUUCCAUUCCCAGUUUUCUGAGUAAUCUCCAUACUGCUUUCCAGAGUACUUACACCAAUUUGCAGUCCCACCAGCAAU
rnacentral:pre_miRNA from 1 species